GAUGAACGCUGGCGGCGUGCCUAAUACAUGCCAGUCGAGCGAACGGACGAGAAGCUUGCUUCUCUGAUGUUAGCGGCGGACGGGUGAGUAACACGUGGAUAACCUACCUAUAAGACUGGGAUAACUUCGGGAAACCGUAGCUAAUACCGGAUAAUAUUUUGAACCGCAUGGUUCAAAAGUGAAAGACGGUCUUGCUGUCACUUAUAGAUGGAUCCGCGCUGCAUUAGCUAGUUGGUAAGGUAACGGCUUACCAAGGCAACGAUGCAUAGCCGACCUGAGAGGGUGAUCGGCCACAUUGGAACUGAGACACGGUCCAGACUCCUACGGGAGGCAGCAGUAGGGAAUCUUCCGCAAUGGGCGAAAGCCUGACGGAGCAACGCCGCGUGAGUGAUGAAGGUCUUCGGAUCGUAAAACUCUGUUAUUAGGGAAGAACAUAUGUGUAAGUAACUGUGCACAUCUUGACGGUACCUAAUCAGAAAGCCACGGCUAACUACGUG
rnacentral:rRNA from 1 species